GUAGGUGGCAAGCGUUGUCCGGAAUUAUUGGGCGUAAAGCGCGCGCAGGCGGUCCUUUAAGUCUGAUGUGAAAGCCCACGGCUCAACCGUGGAGGGUCAUUGGAAACUGGGGGACUUGAGUACAGAAGAGGAAAGCGGAAUUCCACGUGUAGCGGUGAAAUGCGUAGAGAUGUGGAGGAACACCAGUGGCGAAGGCGGCUUUCUGGUCUGUAACUGACGCUGAGGCGCGAAAGCGUGGGGAGCAAACAGGGAUUAGAUACCCUGGUAGUCCACGCCGUAAACGAUGAGUGCUAAGUGUUAGGGGGUUUCCGCCCCCCUUAGUGCUGCAGCUAACGCAUUAAGCACUCCGCCUGGGGAGUACGGCCGCAAGGCUG
rnacentral:rRNA from 1 species